CAUUUUAACUAAUUCUAACGGAAGUUAUGAAUUUACCUUGGCAUAGUUGAAUAACAAGAGUUCAGUACAUGGAAAUGACAUACAGUGAGUCUCAAACACCAUGGUUUCCUCCUUCUUAUGUAAAUCUCAUUUGUUUAAAAGACCUCUGAAGAACAGGCGAAUCUCAACAUAACACCGACUGUGACACAACAGUCGGGAUCAUUAAUAUUGUGGCGAUGACACUGUUAUAAAUGUGUUUUACUUAAUUCACCUGCUGUUGGGAGGAGGUGUUCAGGAGGAAAAAGAGUUAGGAGGGAGGGGCUAACACAGCGCGCGGGGAGUAAAGAAGAAUUGAGUUGAACGUUAGUCAAGCGGAAGAAACGUUAGUCGAAGUCUUUCUGCGUUUUAUUAUUUUUGGGGAAGUAAGUCACCUCCUGAUACCCGCGUUUUAGUUUGUAAACGUUCAGUAAAUAAACCACAGCCCGUUGGGUGCUUUCAAACUGGAUUCUCGUCUCCUGUCUGUUUCUCCUGGGACAGUGCAAAACGCCACAAUAUGUAGGCUACGCCCCCAACUUUUGCAUAUGCCAGCCCAUGUUCAAGGCAUUAGACAAGCCAGUAUUAACGUCUGGAUCUGUGCACAGCUGAAUCAUCAGACUUUAUGCAGGGAACGUUCUGUUACUGGACUUAUGGAAACAUAAGGCAGCUUGUAAAAAACUGCACAAUACCAGAGAAAGGAAAGUUGAGGUGGUGUCUGAUAAAAAAAAAAUGUGGCUAAGAACAGGUAAUUCAAUAGUUUUUACAUUAUUUAAAUUAAUCUACAGUAUUUCAGUGAGGAUUGUUAAAAUCAUAUCUAGUUAUCAAGAAAAUUGCUUAAAAAAACAAAAAAACAAAAAAAACUAUACUUUACACCAACAACAUAUUUUCCAGACUCAUACACCAAAGGUGUCCAGAAAUGCCGGCGUGUUGUUGUGGAGACCUCAAAUAUUGAAACAGAGGAAAGCUCCACAAUGAAAAAAAGAGGGCACACAAAAAGCCACCAAGAUUUCUGUCUGAAACAGAUUCCUCUUCAAAUGAUGAUAGCAGAGUUUUCCCAACUGAGAAUACAAAAGUUUCAAAACCUCUUCCACCCAAAUAUAAGCCAUUCUCCAAUUUUCACCCUCUGGACAAUGCAGAAGCAUCACCGCCAGCAUCCUGGCCAUCAUGUAUGGCACAACCCCUUCAAGCUGCCUCACAGCUCCUCUUAGAAGAGCCCCAGUGUUCUUCAGAAGCAGCAACAAAGAACUAUCGCACAAAAGUCUUGCAAAAACUGCAAGACAUUGCAGAAACCCAGCAAGACAUCUUAGCGAUGCAAAGAAGCAUACUGGCUGCUGUUGCUGGGACAGUGACAGUGACUGAGGAAGGGGGGGACAUCCUGGAAAAUGGAUCAUGCCAGACUGUGGAUGAGCUGAAUACACUAAAAGGACCAAGGUGGUAAUACAUAAGACACUUAAAAGUGACAACUUAAUGCAGUAAUUAAUUAGAUGUAAAAUAGGCCUAAUAUAAAAUAACAUUUGUUCAAGUUCACAUAAGCUACUUCAUCUAUUGUUGAGCUGUCGAGUUGUCAUGAAUGGGUGUCCCUUUAUUUUUAUUUUUUUUUUAAUAUACACAUAUGCAGACCUGUUUGUACCUACUUAAUUUUCAUAUUUGGAGAGUUUUUGUGACUUUUGAGGGCGAUCCUAGAGAUUUUCCGAGGGGGGUUUGGCAACACUGGUCACAGGAACACGGGCAAACAGGGAAAACGAAGAAACUGGGCAGAAAGUCAAAACCAUGAACAUGAGAAACAAAAGACAGCGCGCUCAGAAAUGCAGUGAUGAUGAGACCGGGCAAUGAGUUAUGGGGGAUAUAGUCUUUGAUGGAAUGGCAAAAGUCUGUGAUGGAGUGCCCCCUGGUGGCUCUCAAGGGCACUCCAGCUGGUGAUGGUGACAAUUUAUUACUAAAUGGCAAGAAAAAAAAUAAUGUGAUACUUUAUUGUGUACCUUGAAACACCUUAUCGCAAUGAAGCAGUAUUUAUUUAAUUUUUCAGAAACAGAAAGAGCUUUAUUGUCAAAUAUGUUUGCACACAAGGAAUUUUCAGCUUCCAGUACACAGAGACAACAACAGUACACAGAUAGUAACAUACAAAAAAAUAAAAUAAAUAUAUAUAUGUGAAUAAAAUACACACUAUAAACAAAUUUGUAUUUAGUAGAAUUAACAAGGAAAGGAAUGGAAUAAGAAGAGGGAGGGUAUUGUAUCAGUAACUGAUAUUGCAUAUAGUUGUCGCUGCACAGUAGGGAGAACAUUUAACUGUUCAUGAUUGCCUGGGGGAAUAAACUUUUCUUGUGCCUGGCUGUUCUGGUGCUCGGUGUAUAGCGCUGGCCAGACUGCAAAAGUUCAAAGAGAAGGUGGCUUGGAUGUGACAGAUCCAGAGUGAUUUUUUUAGCCCUUUUUCUCACUCUGGAUGUAUACAGUUUGUGGAGGGUAUACAGUUCUUUAGUGUUAUAGAAUAAUACUUUGCUUCCUGAGAAGUUGACACAAUGCUUGAGGCCAAUAAGUUUAUUUAAAAAGCACCAUCAGAUUUUCAUGAUCAGUCCAUAACAGCAUGGGCGUGACUUGAGCUAAUAGUGCCUAAUGUUUUGUUUUUGUUUGUUUUCACUAGGAUCAUAUUUUGUCAUUUUUGAAAGUGUGGUGGCAAGUGGAUUGAUUUAAUAUGCAAUGGCUGUAAUUUAACAUAUACAAUCUAGACUGCAAAUAUUACCUGGUGAGCUUGUAUUUUAAAGUAGAACUUAAUUAUGAACUUUUUGAGCACUCAUGUCAUUUCCCCACUUUCAUCCUUGUCACAGCAAUAAUGACAAGGUAAAAAUAAUAAUAAUAAUAAUAAUAAUAAUAAUAAUAAUAGAGGCAAAAAGUUAAUUUUAUAAUUCUGCCCUACAAAAGGCAGUAACUUCAUUUUUGGUCAAAAAUGAGUUAUCGAUAUUUUGGGACAUUCAAGACCUCCAUUAUCAUGUGGAUAAGUAUAUUGAGUCAAUUCCAUAGUUUUUUGUUUGUUUGUUUUUUUCGAGAAAAAAUGGGUUGAACACCAUAACACCAGUUACCGCUCUUUGACUGUUUUAGAACGCUCAAAUUGAGUAGGCCUAAGGGUGCUCUGCUAUUGUUUAGCCGUUGUUUAGAAGUUAUUGUACCGCCUAGAGUUAUGGUAUUCUGCCUUUGUUUUACUGUCAAUUAAAGUUUGCGGCAUUUAAAUUAUGGUGUAGCCUGUGUCAUACAUCUGUCACUGAAGCACUUCUGACACACAAUACCUGAAUAAAAGUGUAGGUACAACAAAUAAUUGAGUGGUUGUUUUUACUAAUAGCGUUUAAGGUUGGCCCAUUGCUCUCGAAGGAUAAUGAUAGGUGACCAUGCGUCCUCUUUUUCCUGGACAUGUCCUCUUUUUGGACCUAAAAAAAUGCGUCCGGCCAGGAUUUCUAAAUCGCCCAAAAUGUCCGGGAUUCGGCUUUUGCUUUCUACAGUCGCUAUCCCUCCUCACGCGCAAAUUUGGAAUAUCGCAUAAACAUGUAAGCAAUAACCCCGCUAGAAAUUUUACGUCCCCACUGGUGUUAAGGAUGUUGUCUAGUAAUGUUCCCAGUAUGUUCAGAGACGGUCACGAUGUGGAGUUCUUUUAAGGGUUGGGGGAUGUUAUUUGGCAGACCUUCAGGGAACAUUCAGAAUGUUCUCUGAACGUUUAGGGAACCAUAAUUUGUGAUGUUCUCAGAACAUCCCUGCUGCUCUUGUCAAAAAAUUGAACUGAAAAAUAGAGCUAAAUUGACUAACAAAAGUGGCUGUUCAAACAAAAACUAAUUUUUCUUAAAUGUCUUACCAAAAAAAAGCACUUUACAGGUAAUUUUUCAAUUGCUAUUAUGAAACUUUUUCUUUAAAAUGCAAAUCUCUUGCAGUAAGUCUUUAACUGACAACAGCACAUGCAUGAGCUAGUGUCAUUACUGUAUCACUGCAUCAGCAACUACACAGUUACUGCCUUUAAAUAAAGCAACAUGCAGCAUAACAUCAAUGUUUCUGGAUCAUCACUGACUGAAGCACAGGCUCUACUCUUCAGCACAAUGGUAACCUCACAAAACUCAGAUAACAGAAACAGAACAUUAAACACUAACAGAUCUCUCUAGAUCUCAGCAUCUUCACUUAUUACAAACCACUCCGACUUUAUUUCUUUCAUUCAAAACUUCUUAAUGAGAUGUUGAUAUUUAUUGAAAAUAAUAAAGUUUGAAGUCACCGUUAUGGAGGUA